rnacentral:rRNA from 1 species
AUCUAUGGCCAUGCUACCCUGAACAAGCCCGAUGUCUGAUCUUGGAAGCUAAGCAGGGUCGGGCCUGGUUAGGACUUGGAUGGGAGACCACCUAGGAAGACCAGGUGCUGUAGGCA